GACGAACGCUGGCGGCGUGCUUAACACAUGCAAGUCGAACGAAGUGGCGAACGGGUGUGUAAUACGUGGGUAACCUGCCCUCCUAUUUGGGAUAAGCCUUGGAAACGGGGUCUAAUACCCAAUAAAGGGGGAUGGGCUCGCGGCUUAUCAGCUUGUUGGGGGGGUGAAGGCCUACCAAGGCGGUGACGGGUAGCAGGCCGGAGAGGGUGACCGGCACUGUUGGGACUGCGAGACGGCCCCGGCUGCUACGAGAGGGGGAUGUGGGAGAUAGUGGACAAUGGGCGAAAGGCUGAUGCGGCGACGCCGCGUGGGGGAUCGAGGCGUUCGGGUUGUAAACCUCUGUCGAAAUCGAACGGGUAGGUGGAGAAGAAGCACCGGCUAACUACGUGCCAGCAGCCGCGGUAAUUC
rnacentral:rRNA from 1 species